rnacentral:lncRNA from 1 species
CCGCUCCUGCGGCAUAUGGAGGUUCCCAGGCUAGGGGUCCAAUUGGAGCUGUAGCCACCGGCCCACACCAGAGCCACAGCAACGCGGGAUCCGAGCCGCGUCUGCAACCUACACCACAGCUCACGGCAACGCCGAAUCGUUAACCCACUGAGCAAGGGCAGGGAUCGAACCCGCAACCUCAUGGUUCCUAGUCGGAUUCGUUAACCACUGCACCACGACGGGAACUCCAGGGUGAAGUUUGAAAAUCUUUGUCAUUGGGUGAUUUCUCUUUCUACUUCUAGGAUUUCUAAUGCACAAAAAUUUCCAGUUGUUCCUUACCAUUAUUUCCUAUAGAGGUUCUGUAGUGCAAAGACAAGACAUUAAUUUAGGGCUCUGCUAUUUACUUAUCUGAAUGAGUUUUUCAAUGUGUACAGGUUUCCCUUUGUAAAGGGCAGAUAACAUAUAUCUCAUAAAAUUGUUGGAAUCAUUACACAGUAUUCAUGGAAAAACCUGGUUCAGAGUCCGAGACAGAGAGGGCACCCUAAUAUAAUGUUGUUGCUUAUUCUGUGAUAAGAGCGCAUAAAUAAUGAAAUAUGAUAAUGCCAAAAAAAGAAUGCUUCCUUUGCUGAAGGAUUCUGUCCCUCCUAGGUGGUAGCCCACCCAUAACAUCUGCUACAUUACUCUAUAUUCUUAAAAUUAGCAUAGCAUAGCAUUAUGCUGGACAUUUUAUGGAUGGGAACAAUUAGAUAUUUUAUUUUUGGUUCAAAUAAUGGCCUCUGAGCAUAUGGAAGUAUCCUAAUUGGCAAUGAGUUCAUAAACUCUGUGGGAUCUACAGCUGUGAACCUAUAGUACACAUCCUCUGGGCAUUUUUAACAGAUUUUAACUUGGUGAUAAUUAAUAAAUUAACAAUUGGUGCUAAGAUAAUUUAAUGUAUCAUGCAAGGAGAAGCAGAAGCAGCAAGUAAGAAACACAUAUGUCUUUAAUGAACAUGCUAUCAGGACAAAAGGAAAGUUUGAAGGGUGACUUGACCUUGACUAAUAUACUGGCAUGUUAGAUUGAUUACCUCUCACCCUCUUGUGAUGAUAGAAUGAGUCUCCUUCAUUUAAACACUGAUCACUGAUUCUAUGGAAGUUAUCAUGCUUUAUUAGAAUAGUGGUAUUAUGGGAACUCCUGAAUUAUUAAUGAUUGAAGUAUUAAAUUCACACAGAAUAUAUCUGUAGCCUUUUGAGGAAAAGUGAUGCUCACAUUGUCUUUGAAAAAUUGUUAAUGUUCAAAGUCAUAUUCUUGUGCAUAAUUGCUCUCCUUUAGUAAGCAAGAUCACUGUGUACAAUCUCAUAACCAUUAUCAAUAGGUUACACAUUGUUCAACACAGUUUUAGGCACCUAAUAAGAGUUCAGAAUCUAUACACUGCUUUUUAAAGAGUUUCCUCAAAUUGUUUUGCACUAAAUAUUUUAUAAUUACUAUUGUUUAAUAUCCAGGGAUUGGGAAUCUGUUUAUUAGAGAUUAUAGGUUAUAGUAUUCUUUGAUAGAGUCAUGGCUUGAGAAUGAGGCUAUCUUAAUAAGAAUAGUACCUCUGGCUUCAUUAAUUUCCUUGGAAAAUGAAGAAAGAAAUAAGACAGGUAAAUGAAUAGAAUAUUGUUUUGGUGCCUUUUCUUCCUUUUUUUCCCUGUGAUAAACUUCUAAGUGGGUUCACAGCCCAUGCGAAGGGCUUAAGGUCCAUACUGCCUCCUGCUCAUGAUUUUCACUGGAUGGCUCCAAAGAAACAAAUUACCAUGACUCAAACCAUCAAGUUUACUCUUUGAACUCCCCCUUCACCCACCCUCAAACCCUCUCCAGGUGUUCCUCAUUUUGGAUUUCCUAACUGAGCAAAUGGCACCCAAAUGAUUUAGAUGCAUGUGCCAGGGGCUGGGGGUUAUUCUUAAUCUGGAUACAUCUUUCUGCGUUGGAUUCCACAACCACAACUCACCACUUUACUUUUUUAAAAAAUUAACACCAUUUUUCCAUCUUUAUUAUGUCCUAUGUACUAUACUCAACCCGUUACAAAUAUACAUCAUUUCAUUUUUUAAACCACCCUUGAUGUAAUGACAAUAACACAAACACUAAUAAUGAACAGUUUUUAAACAAUUUUUUUCUAGGCACUAUUAUAAGAAAUUAUGUAUUCAAUACUCACAGCAGAUCUAUAGGAUAAACCAAUUUAUAGAUGAGUAAAAGUCACAGAGUUAAAACAAAACAAAACAAAAACGCUUUUACCAAGGCUGUGUAUCUUAUAGGUGGUGGGACCAGAACUUUAACCCAGAAAAUUUCCUUCUAGAAUAUACACUCUUCUAGAACACAAGCUGUAAUGCCUCUUUGGUAGGCAGUAUCACCUCCCCUUUUAAAUUAGUGGACUGAACUUCAUAGAAAUUAUCUAAUGUACCCCAUAUAUUCUAAUCCAGGAGUGAAAGAGUUGGAAUUUAAACUCAAAACCGUCCUCAAGCCCAUCCUGUUUCCCUCAUGGACUUGGAAAGAGAGUCUCCCCAGCAAGCUUUGUAAGGAUGUGCUAAAGGAGAAACCCAUUUUAGGGGUAUAUUUUUUAAAUGUUUUGACUUCCUUUCUUAACUUUUGACCUCAUUGCUACCUCCAAUACCAUAUCCGGACCACUGGCUUCUCACUCAUUCCUACAAAUCAGAUCUUCUCAUCCAUGACAUCUCUUCCCUAUAAAGCCAUUCUUACCUUCAUUUUAAGGCAUGACUCCUCUUGUAUGUCUUUUCUAACCAUCUCACCUAUUAUCUUUCUCCUUGUGAUCUUUAACACUUGGUGUUUACCAAAGACCAUUAUUUAGUGGGGGUAACCAACCAUAUAUGUAUGAAUUCUUUCCAUCUCACCUCCAUAUGUUUAUGCCUUUAUAAUGUAAUCCAACUGCAAAUAAAUUUUAGACACUCUAUCUAACAUUAGAAUGAAAGGUAUUCCAGGUACUCUAAGCUGGCAGAAUGAAAGGGUUUAUACAGAUUUUUGGAUGCUCUUUUUUAUCAGAGUCAUAGUGUCAUAGUGUUUGGUAAGCUGCUGCUCUCCUGGGGACCAUAAAUGCUGAUGAUACUCAAAGACAGUCAUCUCAUUUUCAGUCAUCAGCAUCCUUGAAGAGGGCCAUCUUAAAGUCAUCCUCAGAAGAAGCCUUCUUUGCCUCUUAGAUGGCUUUGGUAACAUGUAAUCAAGGGAGGAUCAAAUCUGACUUACACUUGCACAACAAUACACAGACACCUAAGAUAAUUCAUUUAGGAAUAUAUAAAGUAUAUAAAGUACUCAUGUUUCUCAUCAUGUCCUUAAACAGCCAAAAAAUAUCUGCCUCGUUUUUU